UACGGGGGGGGCAAGGGUUGUUCGGAAUUACUGGGCGUAAAGGGCUCGUAGGUGGCCAACUAAGUCAGACGUGAAAUCCCUCGGCUUAACCGGGGAACUGCGUCUGAUACUGGAUGGCUUGAGUUUGGGAGAGGGACGCGGAAUUCCAGGUGUAGCGGUGAAAUGCGUAGAUAUCUGGAGGAACACCAAUAGCGAAGGCAGCUCGCUGGGACGUUACUGACACUGAGGCGCGGAAGCGUGGGGAGCGAACAGG
rnacentral:rRNA from 1 species